GAUGAACGCUGGCGGCGUGCCUAAUACAUGCAAGUCGAACGCUGAAGGAGGAGCUUGCUCUUUCCGGAUGAGUUGCGAACGGGUGAGUAACGCGUAGGUAACCUGCCUGGUAGCGGGGGAUAACUAUUGGAAACGAUAGCUAAUACCGCAUAACAGUAGAUAUUGCCUGAUAUUUGCUUGAAAGGGGCAAUUGCUCCACUACCAGAUGGACCUGCGUUGUAUUAGCUAGUUGGUGAGGUAACGGCUCACCAAGGCGACGAUACAUAGCCGACCUGAGAGGGUGAUCGGCCACACUGGGACUGAGACACGGCCCAGACUCCUACGGGAGGCAGCAGUAGGGAAUCUUCGGCAAUGGACGGAAGUCUGACCGAGCAACGCCGCGUGAGUGAAGAAGGUUUUCGGAUCGUAAAGCUCUGUUGUAAGAGAAGAACGAGUGUGAGAGUGGAAAGUUCACACUGUGACGGUAUCUUACCAGAAAGGGACGGCUAACUACGUG
rnacentral:rRNA from 1 species